CCACAAUCUCUAAGAACCCCAUAGUUAAGAAACCAUCACCUCUCACACCCAUUCUGAGAAACAAUCAAUUUCCCCCAGGCCUAUCACCUCGAGACUUCGUGAGAUAUGAGGACAAUGGGCUAUACAGAUUCCUGCACUUCUUCCAAGGCCAACAAUUCCGAUCCUUCCAAGACCUGCCCAGACAGACCCCACUAAACACAUUUGACCACUUUCG